rnacentral:rRNA from 1 species
CAGUAGCCGCGGGAAUACGGAGGGAGCUAGCGUUGUUCGGAAUUACUGGGCGUAAAGCGCACGUAGGCGGCUAUUCAAGUCAGGGGUGAAAGCCCGGGGCUCAACCCCGGAACUGCCUUUGAAACUAGAUAGCUUGAAUCUUGGAGAGGCGAGUGGAAUUCCGAGUGUAGAGGUGAAAUUCGUAGAUAUUCGGAAGAACACCAGUGGCGAAGGCGGCUCACUGGACUGGUAUUGACGCUGAGGUGUGAAAGCGUGGGGAGCAAACAGGAUUAGAUACCCGGGUAGUCCCUGUCUCUUAUAA